rnacentral:rRNA from 2 species
GAAGAAGCACCGGCUAACUCCGUGCCAGCAGCCGCGGUAAUACGGAGGGUGCAAGCGUUAAUCGGAAUUACUGGGCGUAAAGCGCACGCAGGCGGUCUGUCAAGUCGGAUGUGAAAUCCCCGGGCUCAACCUGGGAACUGCAUUCGAAACUGGCAGGCUUGAGUCUUGUAGAGGGGGGUAGAAUUCCAGGUGUAGCGGUGAAAUGCGUAGAGAUCUGGAGGAAUACCGGUGGCGAAGGCGG